rnacentral:rRNA from 1 species
AUUGAACGCUGGCGGCAGGCUUAACACAUGCAAGUCGAACGAGUGGCAGACGGGAGAGUAUUGCUUGGGAAUCUGGCUUAUGGAGGGGGAUAACGACGGGAAACUGUCGCUAAUACCCCGUACCAUAGGAUUAGCCCAAGUUGGGUUGGGUAGUUGGUGGGGGAAAGGCCUACCAGGCUGACGAUCUCUAGCUGGUCUGAGAGGAUGACCAGCGAAACCGGGACUGAGAGACGGCCCGUACUCCAACGGGAGCCAGCAGUGGGGAAGGUUGCGCAAGGGGCGCAACCGUGACCCAGCCCUGCCGCGCGAAUGAAGAAGGACUUCGGGUGGGAAAAUCCUUUGGGUAUGGAGGCGUUCUUUACAGAAUAAGCACCGGCUAACUCCGUGCCCGCCGCCGCGGUAAUUC